rnacentral:rRNA from 1 species
GACGAACGCUGGCGGCGUGCUUAACACAUGCAAGUCGAACGGAAAGGCCCCUUUGGGGGUACUCGAGUGGCUAACGGGUGAGUAACACGUGAGUAACCUGCCCUUGACUUCGGGAUAACUUCAUUAAACUGGGGCUAAUACCGGAUAGGAAUCCUUGCUGCAUGGUGGGGGUUGGAAAGCUUCGGCGGUUUUGGAUGGACUCGCGGCUUAUCAGCUUGUUGGUGGGGUAGUGGCUUACCAAGGCUUUGACGGGUAGGCGGCCUGGGGGGGCGACCGGCCACCUUGGGACUGGGAUACGGCCCAGACUCCUACGGGGAGCAGCAGUGGGGAAUAUUGCACAAUGGGCGGAAGCCUGAUGCAGCAACGCCGCGUGCGGGAUGACGGCCUUCGGGUUGUAAACCGCUUUCAGCAGGGGCGAAGCUUGUGGUGACGGUACCUGCAGAAGAAGCACCGGCUAACUACGUG